CGAAAAUUGAGGAUGGAUUCCACUCCUAGGCCAGAGAGUGCCUGUUUUGUCGAUUGAAACUAUCCACGAUAUGCCCCAGGCUAGGCAGAUUUGGAUAACAGAUUAUAAGAACAAUGUAGAAGAAAUCAAAUGUAGAUAAAGAAAAAGCCUUACUUUAUGAGAAUCAUGAAGAUGACUUUGAAAUGUAAUUUAUUCCUUGGUUCUUCAAUCAUUGUAUAAUUUAUUAAUAUCUUUCUAUGAUCAAGAUGUUAGAUAACAGAACAAGAAAGUCAUCUUUUCUACCCCAGAAAAUUAAGAAUGGCAUGCCAUCUCUUGAAAUAAAAAUGUGAAUUAACAAUACUACACAAUAUACAUAUUAUACAGAUGUGCAUACUCGAUUAAGAAAAAAAAGCAGUAAUUUCUUUCUUUUUUUUUUUUUUUUUUUUUUUUUUUUACCUCAUAGAGAGUUCCAACUUCUUGGUCUGGGGAAGGAGCAAAGGACUGAUUCACAUAAAUAAACUACAAGAAAGGAAGGAAAAACAGAGAUGUUUAAUGGUAUCCUGAUUAAUCUGCAUUUUUCUGCAUUCCAAUCAGCUAGCUAUUUUGUAUUGUUUUCACAAUUGAAGAAAGCUUCUCUGAACUCCUAACUUUUCUAAAUAGUCAAUUUAAAGAGAUCAUUACGAAGAUCUCAUUUUUCCUCCAGAGGAAUAAAAAUAACACAAUUCCAGUUCCUAGAA